rnacentral:rRNA from 1 species
GUUGUAUGGUUAAGUGACUAAGCGUACACGGUGGAUGCCUGGGCAGUCAGAGGCGAUGAAGGACGUACUAACUUGCGAUAAGCGCAGAUAAGGCAGUAAGAGCCGUUUGAGUCUGCGAUUUCCGAAUGGGGAAACCCAACUGCAUAAGCAGUUACUGUUAACUGAAUACAUAGGUUAACAGAGCAAACCGGGGGAACUGAAACAUCUAAGUACCCCGAGGAGAAGAAAUCAACCGAGAUUCCGGUAGUAGCGGCGAGCGAACCUGGAUUAGCCCUUAAGCACUCGGUGAAGUAGGUGAACAAGCUGGAAAGCUUGGCGAUACAGGGUGAUAGCCCCGUAACCGACGCUUCAUCGAGCGUGAAAUCGAGUAGGGCGGGACACGUGAUAUCCUGUCUGAAUAUGGGGGGACCAUCCUCCAAGGCUAAAUACUCCUGACUGACCGAUAGUGAACCAGUACCGUGAGGGAAAGGCGAAAAGAACCCCUGUGAGGGGAGUGAAAUAGAACCUGAAACCGUGUACGUACAAGCAGUAGGAGCACCUUCGUGGUGUGACUGCGUACCUUUUGUAUAAUGGGUCAGCGACUUAUAUUCAGUGGCAAGGUUAACCGUAUAGGGGAGCCGUAGCGAAAGCGAGUCUUAACUGGGCGCUCAGUCUCUGGAUAUAGACCCGAAACCGGGUGAUCUAGCCAUGGGCAGGUUGAAGGUUGAGUAACAUCAACUGGAGGACCGAACCGACUAAUGUUGAAAAAUUAGCGGAUGACUUGUGGCUAGGGGUGAAAGGCCAAUCAAACUCGGAGAUAGCUGGUUCUCCCCGAAAGCUAUUUAGGUAGCGCCUCGGACGAAUACUACUGGGGGUAGAGCACUGUUAAGGCUAGGGGGUCAUCCCGACUUACCAACCCUUUGCAAACUCCGAAUACCAGUAAGUACUAUCCGGGAGACACACGGCGGGUGCUAACGUCCGUCGUGGAGAGGGAAACAACCCAGACCGCCAGCUAAGGUCCCAAAGUAUUGCUAAGUGGGAAACGAUGUGGGAAGGCUCAGACAGCUAGGAUGUUGGCUUAGAAGCAGCCAUCAUUUAAAGAAAGCGUAAUAGCUCACUAGUCGAGUCGGCCUGCGCGGAAGAUGUAACGGGGCUAAGCAAUACACCGAAGCUGCGGCAAUAUCUUUUAGACAUUGGGUAGGGGAGCGUUCUGUAAGCCGUUGAAGGUGAAUCGUAAGGUUUGCUGGAGGUAUCAGAAGUGCGAAUGCUGACAUGAGUAACGACAAAGGGGGUGAAAAACCUCCUCGCCGGAAGACCAAGGGUUCCUGUCCAACGUUAAUCGGGGCAGGGUGAGUCGACCCCUAAGGUGAGGCCGAAAGGCGUAAUCGAUGGGAAACGGGUUAAUAUUCCCGUACUUCUGACUAUUGCGAUGGGGGG